UACGUAGGGUGCGAGCGUUAAUCGGAAUUACUGGGCGUAAAGCGUGCGCAGGCGGUUUGUUAAGACCGAUGUGAAAUCCCCGGGCUCAACCUGGGAACUGCAUUGGUGACUGGCAAGCUAGAGUGUGGCAGAGGGGGGUAGAAUUCCACGUGUAGCAGUGAAAUGCGUAGAGAUGUGGAGGAAUACCGAUGGCGAAGGCAGCCCCCUGGGCCAAUACUGACGCUCAUGCACGAAAGCGUGGGGAGCAAACAGG
rnacentral:rRNA from 1 species